CCUACGGGUGGCAGCAGUAAGGAAUAUUGGUCAAUGGACGAAAGUCUGAACCAGCCAUGCCGCGUGGAGGAUGAAGGUCUCUGGAUUGUAAACUUCUUUUCUCUGUAAAGCGGUAACAGAGGAAUAAGCACCGGCUAACUCCGUGCCAGCAGCCGCGGUAAUACGGAGGGUGCAAGCGUUAUCCGGAUUCACUGGGUUUAAAGGGAGCGUAGGUGGGUAGGUAAGUCAGUGGUGAAAUCCCCGAGCUUAACUUGGGAACUGCCAUUGAUACUAUCUGUCUUGAAUAUCUUGGAGGUAAGCGGAAUAUGUCAUGUAGCGGUGAAAUGCUUAGAUAUGACAUAGAACACCAAUUGCGAAGGCAGCUUACUACACGAUAUUGACACUGAGGCUCGAAAGCGUGGGGAUCAAACAGGAUUAGAUACCCUUGUAGUC
rnacentral:rRNA from 1 species